rnacentral:sRNA from 1 species
AUCAGUUGCUGAAUUCCGGACACGGGCGUUGAGGAAACUCUUCGCCCGUGUGCGUAUGUUAAGGGUAAAUUAAAUGGC